rnacentral:rRNA from 1 species
AGUGAACGCUGGCGGUAGGCCUAACACAUGCAAGUCGAACGGCAGCACAGUAAGAGCUUGCUCUUACGGGUGGCGAGUGGCGGACAGGUGAGGAAUACAUCGGAAUCUACUUUUUCGUGGGGGAUAACGUAGGGAAACUUACGCUAAUACCGCAUACGACCUACGGGUGAAAGCAGGGGAUCUUCGGACCUUGCGCGAUUGAAUGAGCCGAUGUCGGAUCAGCUAGAUGGCGGGGUAAAGGCCCACCAAGGCGACGAUCCGUAGCUGGUCUGAGAGGAUGAUCAGCCACACUGGAACUGAGACACGGUCCAGACUCCUACGGGAGGCAGCAGUGGGGAAUAUUGGACAAUGGGCGCAAGCCUGAUCCAGCCAUACCGCGUGGGUGAAGAAGGCCUUCGGGUUGUAAAGCCCUUUUGUUGGGAAAGAAAAGCAGCAGGUUAAUACCCCGCUGUUCUGACGGUACCCAAAGAAUAAGCACCGGCUAACUUCGUG